rnacentral:lncRNA from 1 species
ACGGUGGUAAGCCGAAUAUCCCUCGACCGGCCGUAGUCUGGUCGGAAGUCGCGACAAUAGUCGCGUGGGCUUUUAGCCUUUCUUCGGUCGGGGCCCGAUCGGCCUGUCGGCCGAUGGAUUCUGCCCGAAAAUUCGACCGUAGAAGGAGUAUGAACUCCCGUCGCAACAGCUGCACCGGCCUUUGGGCGGAUGUGUUGCCGAAAGUCGGAGGAGUGUAACUCCCGUUUGUAAGAGUCCGUCGGCCCUUGUGAAGGUCCGCCGAGUCGUCGAAGGAGUGUCAACUCCUGUUAUUGUAGAUACGUCGGUGCUCGCAAGAGUCCGAUGCGUCGUCGGUGUUAGGUUCACGUCGAUACGUUGUGGCUGGGCGCCGAUCACUAGUCGAAGAUCUUAGGACUCCGAGAUUUCAAACUGAACUUGUAUUCCGACUAUCGAAUUACAAAAUUCACUGGUAAUACAGCUUCAAGUUGUCGGCGUUCCAAGUCCGGAGAAUGGGCUUCCCCUCGAGGGUCUCCAGCCGAUAGGCUCUCGGUCCGAAGGUAUCAGCAACCUUGUAGGGUCCUUCCCAGUUGGGAGCCAGCUUCCCUUGGUCCAAGGGCUUCGACACUCCUGCCUUCCUCAAGACUAGGUCGCCAGGCCUGAAGAGCUUUGGUCUGACCUUGGCGUUGUAGUACCGGGCGACCCUCUGUCGGUAUGAGGCCAUUCGAAUUUGAGCCUCGUCUCGCAGCUCGGGGAGGAGGUCUAGGUCGGCCCUCCGACUCUCGGAGUUGUCCGGCU